rnacentral:rRNA from 1 species
GACGAACGCUGGCGGCGUGCCUAAUACAUGCAAGUCGAACGCUGAAGGAGGAGCUUGCUCUUCUGGAUGAGUUGCGAACGGGUGAGUAACGCGUAGGUAACCUGCCUGGUAGCGGGGGAUAACUAUCGGAAACGAUAGCUAAUACCGCAUAAGAGUAGAUGUUGCAUGACAUUUACUUAAAAGGUGCAAUUGCAUCACUACCAGAUGGACCUGCGUUGUCUUAGCUAGUUGGUGGGGUAACGGCUUACCAAGGCGACGAUACAUAGCCGACCUGAGAGGGGGAUCGGCCACACUGGGACUGAGACACGGCCCAGACUCCUACGGGAGGCAGCAGUAGGGAAUCUUCGGCAAGGGACGGAAGUCUGACCGAGCAACGCCGCGGGAGUGAAGAAGGGUUUCGGAUCGUAAAGCUCUGUUGUAAGAGAAGAAAGAGUGUGAGAGUGGAAAGUUCACACUGUGACGGUAGCUUACCAGAAAGGGACGGCUAACUACGUG